GUACUCGCUUCGGCGGUACAUAUACUAAAAUUGGAACGAUACAGAGAAGAUUAGCAUGGCCCCUGCGCAAGGAUAGUAAAACGAAAAACCACUAGAAGGUAAACAAAGGGUU